UGGUAUGUAGCAUAAUGGCAUUGCGUUCCGCUGUUAACGGAAAUUGUGUAGGUUCGAGUCCUACCGUACCAG
rnacentral:tRNA from 1 species